UGCGCAGGCGGGGAUGUAAGUCAGUGGUGAAAUACUGCCGCUCAACGGUAGAACUGCCAUUGAUACUGCAUCUCUUGAGUAUGGUUGAGGUGGGCGGAAUGUAUUGUGUAGCGGUGAAAUGCAUAGAUAUGACACAGAACGCCAAUUGCGAAGGCAGCUUACUAAGCCAUUACUGACGCUGAGGCACGAAAGCGUGGGGAGCGAACAGGAUUAGAUACCCUGGUAGUCC
rnacentral:rRNA from 1 species